GUUGGCGCACAGCGCAUCCUUCCGGGUGGUGUGGACGCCGGGACGCGGGGAAUCGGAGCGGCAGGGCUCACUUGCUCUGGGUGAAGCCAGACACCAUACUGUGAGGACACUCAAGCAGCCCUUCGGAGAGAUCCACAAGGUGAGGAACUGAGGCCUCCACCCAACAACCAGCAUCAGCUUGUCUGCCACGCAAGGGAGCUAUCUUGGGAGCAGAUCCUCCAGCCCCAGUCAAACUUUCAGAUAAUGUAGCCUCACUUGGCAUCUGUUAGCAACCUCAUGAGACCCCAAGCCAGAACCACCCAGCUAAGCUGUUCCCAAACUCCUGACCCACAGAAACUAUGAAAUAAUAAAUGUGUCUUGUUGUUUUAAGCCACUCAUUAUGCAGCUAAUACAGUAGCCAACACUUAAGUAGUGCCCACCCUGCACUUGACAUUAUUUUAUAUAUUUUACAUAUAUUCAUUCACUUAAUAUAUCCUGUAAGGUCUCUAUUUUAAAGAAGGGGAAACAGAGGUGCAGAGAGAUCACAUAGUCUGAGAGAGGAGGUGUGGGGGGAAUAAAGUUUCCCAGGAAGACUAGGAUUAUUAUUGAGCUUAAACCUGCUCCAACCGUGCUUUAUUUUGAGUUCUGCCAGUGGCGGACAUGGAGUGCAGCUGAUGCUGCUCCCAUGAGCUGCAAUCCUGUCUCCUGCUCACAUUUGCACAGAAGCCAAGCCCCCUCUGCCAGCUCUGCUCUCCCACCCACCCCAUCCCUCACCCCCCUUUUUUUUUUUUUUUUUUGGCUGAGCUGGGUCUUCGUUGCUGCACAUGGGAUAUUUUUAGUUGCAGCAUGCAGACUUCUUAGUUGUGGCAUGCAUGCAGGCUCUAGUUCCUCAACCAGGGAUCGAACCCAGGCCCCCUGCAUUGGGAGCAUGGAGUCUUACCCACUGGACCACCAGGGAAGUCCCCCUCACCCAUGUUUUAGGCACAGAUCCUGCAUGAUCCUAUGCUGGACCCCACAGGCCAAACUCCACCUGAAGAUAUGCUUGGUUUGGUCUGCCCAGAAUUUUGAGUAUCAGAUUUCUAAUGAAAAUCUAGAAUUUCUGCUUCUCUUGCAAAAUUGGAAGGUCCAACAGGAGUGGUCUGCAGUCCUGCUUGUUUGCAACAGUCCAAAGCUGAAGGGAAGCUGUCCCCUUUGGCCAAGGGAAGCCCUCCCGCCCCAUCACUGCUGUGCGACACAGGCCCUUCCAUGCUCUGGUUUUUUGCAGAUCCUUGAAGCCUCUGAUCAUUGCCUUUGGGCUGGUGUUUUUCUGUUGCCAGUGCCAGCCUCAGACCAGGGCAAGAGGGACCUCUAUUAUGGCACUGAACUUUGGAGGGUGAAUGCCUCCACCAGGCAAGGAGUUGUGGGAGCAAUGGGUGUAUUUACUGGAGCCCAUAGACUUCCUUUUAGACCACUGAGUUUCCGUUUGGGCUGGUGAAAAAGUUCUGGAACUAGGUAGAAGUUUUCCAGCAUUGUAUGUGUACUUAAUGCCACAGAACUGUAUACAUUAAAGUGGUUAAAA